CCCUUCAUAGGAAUAAACCAACAUGGCCAAUCUUUCAUGCUGGGUUGCGCAUUUGUGAGGCAGGAGUUGGCAUCGAGCUUUGAUUGGGUCUUUGGAGCAUUCCUAGAGGCUAUGGAUGGCAAACCUCAUGACAACUUCAUCACCGAUCAGGAUGGUGCGAUGAGGCAGUCAAUACAGAGCAUCUUUCCAACCACCGUGCACCGUUGUUGUCGAUGGCACAUCAUGAAAAAGGCUCAGGAAAAGGUUGGUUGGUUGCUGUGCCGGAAUCCAGGACUCUCUGAUGAUUUCAACAAGUGUGUUGACUUCAGCUUCACUAUAGACGAGUUUGAGCAGAAUUGGGCUGGGUUAAUGAUCAAGUAUGAGGCUAUGGCACACACGCACUUUGAGAAGUUGUACGAAUACAGGUCAACUUGGGUGCCGUGCUACUUCAAACACAGGUUCUUUCCCUUCCUCCAGUCUACACAGCGUAGUGAGGGGUUCAACGCCGUCCUCAAAAGAUAUGUGAACCCACACAACUCAAUGUUGAACUUCGUCAAGCAAUAUGAAAAAAUACAGAACCACAUCCUUGCCAAGGAAGGCUGCAAUGAUUACAGGACACAACACCUUGAGAUUGAGUUGUGGUCCAACUUCCCAAUAGAGAAGCAAGCUUACAAAACCUAUACUAGAGACCUUUAC
rnacentral:rRNA from 1 species